GGACCCCUCCUCCAAAUGAGUAAUCAGAAGAUGGGACUGGCCAGCGAAGAUGAAAGUGGAGCAAAGAAGGAAGGCUGGUAGAGAAUGAAGAGGAGGUCAUUUUCUCUCCAGCUGAGGUCACCGAGUCUGGGCCCCAUGAGAGCUCACAACAGCCCCAGGAUGCACCUCCUCCACCCUGGAUGCCCUCAGCAUUCUGGCUCCAGCCCACAGACGCCACACCCAGAAGAAAAAGCAAAAGAGGUUUCCGUCUGUGCCAGAGAAGCAGUGAUCUGCAAAGGGAAGGAGAUGCAUCUGCAGCCAGAAGCCCUGGGCUUGGAUUCCAUCCCCUUGGAGCCCUUAAUUCACCUACAAGAUGCUGCCUGGCCACCAAGCCCCAGGGGGAGUUGAGC
rnacentral:lncRNA from 1 species